rnacentral:rRNA from 1 species
UACGAAGGGUGCAAACGUUGCUCGGAAUUAUUGGGCGUAAAGCGCACGUAGGCGGCGCUCUAAGUCGGAUGUGAAAGUCCUUUGGCUCAACCAAAGAAGUGCAUUCGAAACUGGAGCGCUUGAGUACUUAAGAGGAUCGCGGAAUUCCCGGUGUAGAGGUGAAAUUCGUAGAUAUCGGGAGGAACACCAGUGGCGAAGGCGGCAUCCUGGCCCUGUCCUGACGCUCAGGGGCGAAAGCGUGGGGA